CCCUUAGAUGUUCUGGGCCGCACGCGCGCUACACUGAGUGUCUGAGAUACGAGUCUGCCUGGUCCGGCAAGGUCUAGGUAAUCGCUAAAAGACACAUCAUGCUUGGGAUAGAUUAUUGCAAAUAUUAAUCUUGAACGAGGAAUUCCUAGUAAGCGCAAGUCAACAGCUUGCGUUGAUUACGUCCCUGCCCUUUGUACACACCGCCCGUCGCUACUACUGAUUGGAUGUUUAAGCGAGGUUCUCGAACUGCUAGCGACUUAGCUUCGGUGAGGUCGCAGUGUGGGAAGUGAACCUAGCUUUGGUGUCUAGAGGAAGUAAAAGUCGUAACA
rnacentral:rRNA from 1 species